ACUUUGAUUAUGGCUCGGGACGAACGCUGGCGGCGCGCCUAACACAUGCAAGUCGAGCGGGAAGCUUUUUAAGGAUUCUUCGGAUGAAUUAAAAAGUGGAGAGCGGCGGACGGGUGAGUAACGCGUGAGAAACCUGCCCUAUACAGGGGGAUAGCCAUUGGAAACGAUGAUUAAUACCCCAUAUGACCACAGUAUCGCAUGAUACAGCGGUGAAAACUCCGGUGGUAUAGGAUGGUCUCGCGUCUGAUUAGCUAGUUGGUGGGGUAACGGCCUACCAAGGCGACGAUCAGUAGCCGGCCUGAGAGGGUGACCGGCCACACUGGAACUGAGACACGGUCCAGACUCCUACGGGAGGCAGCAGUGGGGAAUAUUGCACAAUGGGCGAAAGCCUGAUGCAGCGACGCCGCGUGAACGAUGAAGGCUUUCGAGUCGUAAAGUUCUGUUCUUGGGGAUGAUAACGACGGUACCCAAGGAGAAAGCACCGGCUAAAUACGUGCCAGCAGCCGCGGUA
rnacentral:rRNA from 1 species